AAUGAAAACAGUCUGUUAGAAAAACUUUUCAAAUGAUCUAUCUACCGAUAUCACAGUGGGAAUUUUUGUAGAUAAAUCAUUUGAAAUGUUUUCCUAAUAGAUUGUAAUUAUUUAAAAAUCUUAUCCACAAAUAUUAAAUCAAGACCUUUAUUCAGAUUAUACAGAUGCAGAAUGGUGGGAUAUUUCAUAGUUUUGUAAUAUGCUUUGUUUCAUUAUGAAAGAUGCUUGAAAGAUGCUCUAAAUCUAGAACAAAAUACUUACAGACAUAUUCAAUAAAACAUAUUAAACAUGUUCAAUAAAAAGAAAUUACAAGUUUAAUAUUCCAGUUUGGUAUAG